rnacentral:rRNA from 1 species
GAUGAACGCUAGCGGUGUGCUUAAUGCAUGCAAGUCGAACGAGAAGCUUAACUUCGGUAAAGUGGAAAGUGGCGAACGGGUGAGUAACACGUUGGUGACCUGCCUUCAAGAGGAGGACAACCACUGGAAACGGUGGCUAAUACUCCGGAUGUUAACCUAAUUAGAUAAGGUUAACUAAAGCUCCGGCGCUUGAAGAGGGGCCAGCGUCCCAUCAGCUAGUUGGCGAGGUAACGGCUCACCAAGGCGAAGACGGGUAGGGGACGUGAGAGCGUGAUCCCCCACACUGGUACUGACACACGGACCAGAUACCUACGGGUAGCAGCAGCAAGGAAUAUUGCGCAAUGGGCGAAAGCCUGACGCAGCAACACCGCGUGGAGGAUGAAGGCCCUCGGGUCGUAAACUCCUUUUCUGGGGGAAUAGAAAGGAAGGUACCCCAGGAAUAAGGUCCGGCUAACUACG